rnacentral:siRNA from 1 species
CAUGUCAUUUUCUUGUGCGAUGA